UUCUAUGCCCGUUCUCUCCCUGAUGGCUUCAAAGAUGCUCUGGAAUAAUAAUGCACAAACGUACAACAUGAUUGUAAGGACUGUUCUGACUGUAUUCUGACCCUCCUUUACACCCACGUGCAUCAGCGCAGCAUCAGGCAGCCCCGGCCACGUCCUUGGUGUUGGUCUUGCUUGAACCUGGGAGCAGCUUCAGGUUUACUCCAAGAUUUCACCAAAGCCCCAUCGCCAGCGAAGGUCUGACUGCAGUGACCUCCUGCACAGCUCACACCACCAAGUCUCAGUCUUCCAAGAAGAACCCAAAGGCAGGUGAGACAUUCAUUCAGCUCUCUGCUGUCUUUCAGGUAAGCAAAUUUAAACAUGUCUGGCAGUUCCAAUUAUUAUUCUUUUAACUGCACAACAAGAGAGGAAGGAAAAAAAAAGGAGAUUUAUCACAAAAGAUUAUUUUGGGGGAAGGGGAGGAGGACGGGGGAACUCUAGAAUGUUUUAUUUAUGGGAAUACUGCAAAUUACCUUAAUAAAUUCCUUUGCUAAGCUGUGUCAGCUACUAAAACAUUGUUCUUUGUGGGUGAAUAACUUUUAAUUUGAGCGUUCUAGUAUUCAGCAGAGUGAGGUAAUGGAUUAGCAAUUGCCUGUAUUGUAAAUGUCAUCUUGGCAUAAUUAGGGUGAUUAUUGUUAACCAGUGGAGUUCAGUAUUUAUCUGUCACUGGGUGAGAGGAUAUAACAAAGCCCCAAUUAGUUAUAAAUGGUAUAUAAAUUAGUUAUAAAUGGUGGUGGGUGGUGGGAAUGGAACGCAGCCCCUGAAAUGCUGCUUUUGUUUUAAAUUUGUUUCGGUGUUUAUUUGGUUUUAACGUCCGCAUUACCGUGAUCUCCCUGACGAGAGGGACCACGUGCACACACACCGUGUGCCGGGUGCCAGGCCUGGUUGCAGCGCUGGAUCCCUGCACAGCACCUGGGCUCCUGCACAUGUGGGGAAACCGUCCUCCACUCUGCCGGAUGGAAAUACGCACAGCCCCCGACUCUGCCCAGUACUGCAGGCCCACAGAAGCAGAAUUUCACAGUCUAGAUUGGUUGGAUUGGAGGGACCCCAAAGACUUCCAGCCGCAUCCCUGCUGUGGGCUGCAUGCCCUACAGCUCGGGCUGCCCGGUGCCCCUUCCUGAUCCACUCUCCCACUUAGGCUCCUUAUUGCCCAUUCAUUUCUAACAGCGCCGUUUCUAACGGUCAGAUGGAAACUGUAAGAGGAAGUGGUCUGAGUUCAGCUCUGCAAAGGAAGAGAUAGAAAACCAUAUAAUGGGCAGUGCACAGCAGUGUCCCCUUUGGGAAUGUCAUAUCCUUUUUCCCCGGGGCAGCAAGCAUCUAGCUCAAGGCACCAGGGUUAAUGUCCUUCACAAAUACUUAUCCGGCCUAAUAGAUCUGGGGAUAUUGCUACCACUCACAGAUAUUUCAAAAUCUCUCCUCUUAAUCCUGACAAGCUCUUGCCCUUAAUAACUUCAGUGGGACUCUUGCCAGAGCAAAGACUGUCAAGUCAGAUUCUCAAAUGAAACAAAAAGAAAAGCAGGAAGGGAAGUUCAAGGUGAGGGUUUUUUUUGCUUGGUGCUUUUUAUGGAUGUUCGUAGAUGGAAACUGUUGGGAUUUUUUCCUUCUGAUUACUUAAAUGAUGGAUGAGUCAAAUGUCCUGAGAAAGCCUUCCAGACCCAGCCACAAAUGGCAUAGAAUGGAGAGAGCAAAGCCAUCAGGGGCUGAGGACAGACAGAGAGAAAAGAAUGGGAGAGUAGCAUGGUAGGGAAAUAGCUUCAGUGGGAAGAAAGAGAUCUCAGAGGGAAGCGGGGAUCAUGUAAUUUGUGGAGAAAUAGUUUAUACAUUUUUGGUUAGUGAAUAUUUAAGUACGUUGUAAUAAUCAGUUGUUGUGAGUUAUCCCAGACACCUGGUUGCUCGUGUGUUCAGAGGUACCUCCUUUACUCUUUGGAAGCCUUUUGCAGUGCUCAGCCUCCUGUGACACAGCUUAUCUCAGCUUUCAUUAAAAAUGAGGGGAACGUUUCUAUUCUCUCUCUGUCGCAGAAAACCUAGAAAACAUGAAGCUGAGAGCCACAAAGCAAAUAAAGCCCCAGAUCCCAUUUUGAGACAUCCUGUGAUUGCUGGAGACGUUCUCAGUCCGGGGAUGAGGAGGGCAGAUCGAUGCUUUGCUGCGCUGAAGGCAGGCGCUGCUGAUAAGCGGUGAGCUCCCGUCGUGAUACGAGCACAGGAGGCAACGAGCAGCAAGAACAGAAGGUGGGAGCUGCUCUUAGAAAGAAUUGAGCUUUUCCUGCAGCCCUUUCAGAGCAGCACAAGGUGCCCCAGGAUCCCUGCAGGCACCAGCUCAGAAGCAGGACAGCUUUCUUUGCUCAGCUCCGCAUCGUCCUCGUGAGGCUUGGCUGAUCCCCCCUGCACAGCAGGUAUCCCCACAGCCCCAACCAAACCCCACACCAUUUGUUUCCUCCCUCUGCAGAUUCACCUUUUCACCCAAGGCAGGAACUGAUGUCACCACCUGGAGAUCUGCAACAUCUCUGGGAGGAUCCGCGAGCCUGUGGCCACAGCAGCAGCUGAGGGCUUCCCAGGAAGAAGAGGGUUUUGGGGUGGCUGGACCUGGAUUUACUUUCCACAGGAAUGCACAGAGAAGCAGAACUUUCUUUUUUCCUUCAGCAUCUAUGGGGGUGUCAGUAUUACUUCUACGGAGCGCUCAGCAGCAGGGAUUUUACACAGAUAUGUUCACUUUCCAUGGAAAGUCAAUAGAUACACUCAGAGCAAUUCCUGAACAGAAUAGGAGGUUAAAAGGGGACUUUUGAAAGGUCGAACUCACUUGUAUGAACGAAAGCAGUGUUUCAUUCCUUGAAGGCUUGAUCCAGCUCCCACUGCGAGAUACGAAAUUGCUUCAACAGAAACAGGACCUGACCUUAACCGAGAGACAAGCCAGGACCUGGAGCAGCCCCAGCCGCGUGACACAGGCACAGACAUGCCAGCAGCCACCUCCUCACCCUGCCCUGCUUUGUGUUGCAGUCAGUCCCUGGGAGAAAAUAGAAAUCCAUCACAAUGAGCAGAGCAGAGGCUUGGCUCGGUAGCGUCAUUUAAUGCCUGAUAAUCCCUCAUCCCAAUUUGCUUGAAUUUAUUAGAUGUCCCUGGAAACAGGUGUGAUGGAAAUACCAUGGAAACGUGAGACAAGUGGAGCCAUCAGUUCACAGCCUCUCCAGCAGCAGUUUCAUAGGGAGAGCAGAGCUGACAUCGCGUGGGCGCCUCCCUCUCCUCUCUCCAUCUUCACGUCAAGAGCCCAAAGAGCCCCACGCUGCAGCCUAAGGGGCACUUUUCAUCAGGACUGGAGUGGGAAUUGUGUCACAGCUGUCAGCACCAACAGUCCUCCCAAAGCAAUCCCAACAUGGGCAGAAAGGGGCAGAUUAAACUGCCUGAGCUAAGCUGCUUGCAUCUGGAGACACCCAGUGGGUGCUGCUUCCCUCUCCCCAGCCCUUACGCUUCAGCAGUGCCACUUGGCUCAGAUAAUUUACUUUUAAUAGUCUGGUUACAAAUGAGAUUGCAAAGGAAGCACGUGAUUCCGAACUGGGAUUUCUGAGUCACGUUCUCAUUUCCCCCUCGUGCCUCCUAGGCCUCUAAUAAACUACAAAGAGACAUUAAGAAAACAAUAAGAACUCUUUAUCUACUGAGACUGGGGAACAGGAACAGUGAGCCAGCAGUAAUGGAUUCUGCAUAUCUGCAGAACGUCCCUGCAGCAGCAGCCGAACGAGGGGACGGGAAGUUGGGUGCUCAGGACAUGCAGAGCCCGGAGCAGCCGGCAGCAGUGGGUAGAAAGCAGGUGAGCAGUGCCUGAGGCCGGCUGAACAACCCUGCCAGGCAUUUGGCCAGCAGGCGUUUGGCCACGUCCACGCUGCGUUCCAUUGCAAACUCAGGGGGAAUCAGGCAGCUGUCGUGUGUGCUGUGAGACAUCUCCCACCUCACCCCCGUGUGCACUGCAUCGCCUGGGCCAGGAUAAACCGCAGGUGUUUGCAGCAGCACGUAAAUGGGAAAAGAAAAGGGGUCACAUCCUACCCCGGCCUGCAGCAUCUCUGAUGGUGACGGUGGUUCUGCAGACAACUGCAGGUAAUGGGAAAUCAGGCCCAGGGACUCAGCAGACAAAGGUGUCCCCCAAGGCAAGGAAAUCAAUGCAAAAUAAAGUGGAGGUUAAAAACACAUACGCAGAACUAAUUACAGAAAGAGAACUGAGCCUGGGGUAGAUGAGAGCCCUUGAUAAAAGAAAUGGCUCCACCUGGUAAAUGGAGCAGUUGGCCUCAAUGGCUUGGGUUAUUUAUUUUAUUUUUUCUCUUUCUUCAUGUAGGUCAGAUGCCUUCCCAAGGGGGAUUCUCUUAAACUCCUGCUUAGGAUCUCAAUUACAAACUCAACACAAAUUAACAACAACAGAUAAUAGAACAGUUAGAGCAAAAGAAACCUCAGAGAAGCACACAGUACACAGAACAGAUAGCAAAGGGUUCAUGGAAAAGGAAAAUCAGUGUGACAGAUAUUUAUUACUAUCUUUAUGAGGGGAGAUGGGACUCAACCAGAGCCCAUUUUGAGUUCUGUUAUGCUGGGGUUUUGCCAUAAACGAAAGUGAUGAGUCCAGCCCUAUCCUUACACUUUUGUGCCCAGCACAUUUUAAUUAGGGUUAAGAAAACAGAAGGGAGGAAAUAAAAACAAGGAAAAAUAAAGAGAGAAAAGAGGUAAGAAAAAUCUCAGCUGAUUCAUAAUUUAGUGUCUGUUCUGCUCAGGCUUCUGUUGGAUCUUCCAAAAGCAACGUCCCCUUUCAUUCAGAUUGGGUAGCUCCUGUUCAAACGUCCUUUUGAUGCCACACAUGAAGAGAAAACAAACAACCAUGAGCAGAGAGAGGAAGAGAAAAAAGAAGGCAAACAAUGCAAUAUGUAUAGAACCUAACACAACACAGCAUCCCACACUGGGAGGCAGAGCCCAGCACUGGUGACUGUAAUUCAGCACGAGUGGAAACACACCAGAAAAAGAAAGGACAGCGUUAUGAGUAACCACAUCCUUGCUUUCACAGCCUGCCUCCCAGCACACACACUGAGCAAGGUGUGCACAGACACGUUCAGAGCCGUGCAGCAGGAGCACAGGAAUGCCCGUUUGCAGACAGCUGUGCGAACGUCACCACCAUCUCCAUGGGGCGCAGGAGCCAUGCUGGCAGGUUUCUGCAGCGACCCACGAAAUGUGUUCCCCCUGCUUGACCCAUCCCUCCGCGUUUCUCACUGCGCUUGGACGUGGUGGAGGUUGGUAGCAUUGAGCCCAGAUUCCAGUCAAGAAAUUUGAAAUUGGAUUUGAGG